rnacentral:rRNA from 1 species
GCCUGUAAGACUGGGAUAACUCCGGGAAACCGGGGCUAAUACCGGAUGGUUGUUUGAACCGCAUGGUUCAGACAUAAAAGGUGGCUUCGGCUACCACGUACAGAUGGACCCGCGGCGCAUUAGCUAGUUGGUGAGGUAACGGCUCACCAAGGCAACGAUGCGUAGCCGACCUGAGAGGGUGAUCGGCCACACUGGGACUGAGACACGGCCCAGACUCCUACGGGAGGCAGCAGUAGGGAAUCUUCCGCAAUGGACGAAAGUCUGACGGAGCAACGCCGCGUGAGUGAUGAAGGUUUUCGGAUCGUAAAGCUCUGUUGUUAGGGAAGAACAAGUGCCGUUCAAAUAGGGCGGCACCUUGACGGUACCUAACCAGAAAGCCACGGCUAACUACGUGCCAGCAGCCGCGGUAAUACGUAGGUGGCAAGCGUUGUCCGGAAUUAUUGGGCGUAAAGGGCUCGCAGGCGGUUUCUUAAGUCUGAUGUGAAAGCCCCCGGCUCAACCGGGGAGGGUCAUUGGAAACUGGGGAACUUGAGUGCAGAAGAGGAGAGUGGAAUUCCACGUGUAGCGGUGAAAUGCGUAGAGAUGUGGAGGAACACCAGUGGCGAAGGCGACUCUCUGGUCUGUAACUGACGCUGAGGAGCGAAAGCGUGGGGAGCGAACAGGAUUAGAUACCCUGGUAGUCCACGCCGUAAACGAUGAGUGCAUAAGUGUUAGGGGGUUUCCGCCCCUUAGUGCUGCAGCUAACGCAUUAAGCACUCCGCCUGGGGAGUACGGUCGCAAGACUGAAACUCAAAGGAAUUGACGGGGGCCCGCACAAGCGGUGGAGCAUGUGGUUUAAUUCGAAGCAACGCGAAGAACCUUACCAGGUCUUGACAUCCUCUGACAAUCCUAGAGAUAGGACGUCCCCUUCGGGGGCAGAGUGACAGGUGGUGCAUGGUUGUCGUCAGCUCGUGUCGUGAGAUGUUGGGUUAAGUCCCGCAACGAGCGCAACCCUUGAUCUUAGUUGCCAGCAUUCAGUUGGGCACUCUAAGGUGACUGCCGGUGACAAACCGGAGGAAGGUGGGGAUGACGUCAAAUCAUCAUGCCCCUUAUGACCUGGGCUACACACGUGCUACAAUGGGCAGAACAAAGGGCAGCGAAACCGCGAGGUUAAGCCAAUCCCACAAAUCUGUUCUCAGUUCGGAUCGCAGUCUGCAACUCGACUGCGUGAAGCUGGAAUCGCUAGUAAUCGCAGA